UAGCCGGGCCACGGCUUACUAGACGAACACGGCCCAAUAGACAGCCCAGGCCCAUGUGAAAAACGUUAGUUGGUGGGGAAACCGGGAAAGAGAGGACGGUCAUAACCCUAGCUCCACCGGGAAUUCGCUGGGUGGGUGCCGCCGCCGCUCCACAACUCCGGCGACGCCGCCGCCUUGCUUCCUACCACUGGCGUCUACGCCGAGAUCUCCACCUACAUUUCCUCCGCCGCCCUCUAAACAGCCUGUCCCGGCCGCGGCACCCUUGGACUCGCCACCGAAGAUCGACGGCGCCGUCCUCUUCGCUUGCGAAGAAGGCCGAGGUCUUCACGGUGGUCGGGGAGAGGUGCCUGGCUUUCAUCUCCUCGCGAAGCCCGUGCCGGCUCGGCGGUGGCGCACGAUAAUGGAGGUGGCCGAUGCUGGUAGGUGAAAUGAAAGGCGUCGCCGGCGCGUGAUUCGGUGGUCCAGGACAUCGGCGGCGCUUGAGCUUCUCCGGCGUCGGUCCUUCCCGGUGUUCCUGGUCGACGGCGAGCUGGACAGGACCUCGUUGCACUGCCGCUGCAGCUGCGUGCGACAGGACAGGUUUGGCGUGCAAUUGUCGUCGCCUAGGGUUCAGUGGCGAGAUGCCCACGUCGCCCAGGUGGCUGGCGCUCACGCAGGGUGCCGGGAGGGUGUCCCUGGGCUCUCAGCGGCAGCCUGGUAGCCAGCACUGGGUCACUGAGCGAGUGCUAGCUCUCUGAAGAAGACAUCAACAGGCUCCUUAAGGUCCAGAUGCCUCUUCGCUACUUACCCUGAUGUCCCUACAUCCCAGUGAGGACAGGGCGCGUCGGGCUGCUCCCUGGCCGAGAGUGGUGCCGGUUCUGUCGUAGCGCCAUACAUCAUUAUUGGUGUUGGGGAAACUACAAUUGUCGGCGGCACGUGUUUGGGUCAUCACCGGCGCGCCGCCUUCUCCUCUUCUGUCUUCUGUACAUCCAUGUUCUCGUUUGCGUGCUACUCCAUGGUGAUCAAUCUUCUCGCUCUGCCAAGCCUCCACAAGAGCCACCAAACAAUAUCCUCUUCAUCCAGAACAGUGCUGACCAGACAUCGAGCAUGAUGGUGGAGGUCCUGUUCUACCCUGGUUUCCGGGAGGUUCGGAUGAUCGAGGCCAGGCCAGGCAUUGCUUUGGUGGAGUCCGAUGACGAAAACCAGUCCAUGGUUGCGAUGCAAGCCCUCCAGGGUUUUAGGAUGAGCCGGAGAACCCAAUCACUAUAUCGUACGCCAAAAAAUAAUGAUGAUCCAUGGGAUCCCCAAACCGUCCGAAGAAACCUGUAGCCAUAAGAUUUUCCCACCCUAUGAUUUACACUAUAGUGGUGAUCUAACUGACUUGUAAAGAAAUACAUGGUGUUUAGUCUCUUGCAACAGUUGAGACAUAAUAAUAGCAUUUGUCUGAAAUUGUGGAAGUA